UGGGGAAUCUUGCGCAAUGGGCGAAAGCCUGACGCAGCCAUGCCGCGUGAAUGAUGAAGGUCUUAGGAUUGUAAAGUUCUUUCGCCCGUGACGAUGAUGACGGUAACGGGAGAAGAAGCCCCGGCUAACUUCGUGCCAGCAGCCGCGGUAAUACGAAGGGGGCUAGCGUUGUUCGGAAUUACUGGGCGUAAAGCGCGCGUAGGCGGUUUUGCAAGCCAGAGGUGAAAUGCCUGAGCUCAACUUAGGAAUUGCCUUUGGGACUGCGAGGCUUUGAGGACGAGAGAGGUGAGUGGAAUUCCCAGUGUAGAGGUGAAAUUCGUAGAUAUUGGGAAGAACACCGGUGGCGAAGGCGGCUCACUGGCUCGUUUCUGACGCUGUAGCGCGAAAGCGUGGGGAGCAAACGGGAUUAGAUACCCGGGUAGUCCCUGAGCGGGCUGGCAAGGCGCAU
rnacentral:rRNA from 1 species